UUAAAGCCCAGAUAUUAAAAGGGUGCUCGCUUCUGCACCAGACAGCUACCACUUUGAUCAUCACAAAUGAAAAGGCACGCUUGGCCCGGGGUUUUAUGGCGAGAACCGAGCUGCGAGACAAAGGCGGCGCGGGCGCGGGAGGCUGGGCGGAGCGGGUUUUAUGGAGCGCGGCGCAAGUCUGGGCCCGAGCUCUGCGGCGAGGCCAGCGCCGCUGCAGGCCGCCUGCGACGCCCGGCCGGCCUUGCGCGGGUCCCUGGCGCAGCCCCUCGCUCGCCCCUGGCAGCUUGCGGCUCUGAUCCAGGGCACGGAAGCGGGCCACUUUGAUAGACUUUAAAAAGUGCGGAGAUCUGCUGCUUUCUCCCCCAAAUGCAGGCCCCGCGGGGAUUUCUUUGAGACCUGGAAGGAACAUGCUGUCACAUGUAACCUAAUGAGCCCGGCCUCCUCUUCCCGCGCCCAUUAAUCAAUCAGCCAGCACUUGUGAAGCGUCUAGGAUGGCGUGUGUGCGUGGAGAGAAUGUCCUCUCCGCCCUACCUGGGCAGCAGCUUCCUGCAACACAGUUGAGGAGAGUCAAGGUUCUCCUGUGCCCCAGAGCAGACCUGCGCUACAGGCAGCCUCAGCUCCGCUCGCCACAGUAGCCGGGAAUUUCCUCCCUAUGACUAAAGGAACAAGCAGGAUGUGGCUCCCAGCUCUGGUGCUCUGCAGGUCUCCUGGACACCACUGGUGAUGCUGUGCCCUUUGGUGGCUGACUUGUGGGACACAUGAGGAAAAGGAGUGGAAGAAGUAGUGGAAAGGAAGCCGUGGUGCUGAGCAGAGGAAUCUGGACAUGGAUUCACUGGAAUUGGGGAACCACCAAUGAUUCGUGAGAGCGAAUUUUGUCAGUUAACCUUUCUAUAUAGCUGGAGGCAGGCAUCCAGGGAGGUGGCCACUGGACGCCAUCCGCCACAGCUCCACUGCGGGCAGGAGAAGGAGGGAGAGAAUGGCAAGAGGGGCAACCUCCCCACUGGGACAGCCUCGUCAGACCCCUCCCACCACAUCCUACCAUCACCAGCCGGAACCGGGACUGGGUAGCUGUGUUCCGGCAGCAGCGUGACUAGCUGAAGCCAGGGUAGGGUUACCAAGAGAGAAGGGAAUGUGCACUUGCGAGGCAGUGGGGUCGUGCAUCAGCUGUGGACUACUUCAUUUAUUUGGUGGUAAUAAGUGGGAAACUGUGGGCCUAAAUUGAUGUGACCAUGGGCUGAUGGAUGGGGACAUCCUGGGUUCGAAAGGAACUUCCAUGGUGGGUCUGAGGAGAUGGGAUGGUGUAGAGAUUUGGGAACCAUGGGAAGGGGAUGCUGGUGAUGUCACUGACUAAAAUGAGGAAGCUGAAGAAGGAGUUUAGGAAAGAAGGUCAUGAAUUAGGUUUCGGACCUGGUGAGUGUAUCCAGCAAGUGACAGCAGACUGGAGUCGUGGUGGCAGGGACUGUGUUGCACAAGUGAAGGUUCAGUUCACUUAUUUUAUUUAAUACUACCCUUCUGAUGUCUCACAUGCUUCUAGGGACUUCGUAAGGGACUCAGGGGACCACUGGUUAUGAUGCAGUAGGCGAUAGGGUCACCUCUCCUCUGCUGGACUCAGGCUCCUCCGAGGUUCUUGCAGAUCCCCAGAGUUAGGGCAAGGACAGGACUCUAAGCAAAUGGCUUCUACCCAGAGCCCCAGAGUGCGCUGCUCCCUGGUGAGGUCGCAGGUGGAGAAACCCCACUCUCCAGUGCUAGCCGAGCGCUUCUCAGUUGCAGUUUCCUUUGUUCCCUUUUGGUCCAGUCUCAACCUGGCUCCCCCUUUUGAAAUUUUUUGUUGUUGUUGUUGUAAAGGGACACAAUCUCUUUAUUUUGCUUAUUUUUAUGUGGUGCUGAGAAUUGAACCCAGUGCAUCACACAUGCUAGGCAGGCAUCUGCCACCAGCCACAACCUGGCCCCUUUUGGUCUGUGCUGUCUUGGGCCCAUUGCUGAGUGGUGCAGACUAAGUGGGUGCUGCUGUGCACGCAGUAGGAGGGAUGUAGCGUCAUGUGCAGCCCCCGUGGGUCCAGGAGCAAAGCUUGCAAUGGAAAUGCAUAAGGGAAUGCCCUGCUCGUGGUGGGAGGUGGGGCCACGGCCAGGUUCAGAGCAGAGGUGGGAGACGGAGGGUUAGGACCAGGUCUGAGCGAGGCUGCAGGGGGGAGUCCCGUGCUGCCAGAGCACCUUGCCGAGGCUAAAGCAGCUCCCUAGAAGAGACCACCUGGUGAGAUCAUCCCGAGCCAAGGUCUCAGAAGAGACCUGAGCAGGAAGGGCAGGGGCGUGGUUUCCAGCAGCCUGUGUGAUGUCGCCCUGGUUCUGCUGCCCAGCAGAGAUCAGAGUCCUUUCCUGCAGAGGUGGGCAAGCGUCCUUCUGUUGUCUGGGCUGCCUGUGUGGCCCUGUGCAGCUCUUCAGGGUGUGAUAGCGCUUCGGACUGCUGGUCUUCCAUCUGUGGCCUUUCUCUCUCUCUCUGGAAGCUUUGGGGUCCGUCUCAAUUUGGCAUUGAAUGCUUUCCUUUAAUCCCCAGCUCUGUCAGCAGCGCUCAGGGGACUCUGCCUUCAGGUAUGCGGGGUUUGCCCACGUGAUUUCUUUGAUGAUUUCUGCCCUCAGACAUUCUCUGUUCUCUUUCAGGAAACCCUCUGAGUACAUGCUGGGUCUCUUAGGAAUCAUCAGUGUCAGCCCUUGACUUUUUAUUCUGUGGAUUUCAAU